AAUAAGAAACUAUUGACAGGUUUACGUAAGUAAUGAAAAGGGAAUCAGGUGCAAAUCCUGAGCAACCCCCGUUACUGUAAGCGCCGUUAAAGAUUUAUUUAUCUUCAUGCCACUGGCGAAGACUGGGAAGGCGAUAAAUAAAGGCGCGAGCCAGGAGACCUGCCUGUUAAUAAAACUACAA
rnacentral:ncRNA from 2 species